rnacentral:rRNA from 1 species
UACGAAGGGGGCUAGCGUUGCUCGGAAUUACUGGGCGUAAAGCGCACGUAGGCGGCUUGUUAAGUCAGGGGUGAAAUCCUGGAGCUCAACUCCAGAACUGCCUUUGAUACUGGCGAGCUUGAGUUCGGGAGAGGUGAGUGGAACUGCGAGUGUAGAGGUGAAAUUCGUAGAUAUUGGGAAGAACACCGGUGGCGAAGGCGGCUCACUGGCUCAUUUCUGACGCUCAGGCGCGACAGCGUGGGGAUCAAACAGG